rnacentral:rRNA from 1 species
UACGGGGGGAGCAAGCGUUGUUCGGAUUUACUGGGCGUAAAGGGCGCGUAGGCGGUCGUGACAAGUCACUUGUGAAAUCUCCGGGCUUAACUCGGAACGGUCAAGUGAUACUGUCGGACUAGAGUACAGAAGGGGCAACUGGAAUUCUCGGUGUAGCGGUGAAAUGCGUAGAUAUCGAGAGGAACACCUGCGGCGAAGGCGGGUUGCUGGGCUGAUACUGACGCCGAGGCGCGAAAGCCAGGGGAGCGAACGGG